CCUAUGAGUAAAGAACACAUACUUUAUGACUAUGAGAAAAAGGGGAGUCCAUUUUCAGUAGCUUUUAUAUUUUCAUCUACGGCCUGGUUAGUUGAGAUUACUGGAUGUGUGUAUAUAUAUAUGUGUGUGUAUAUAUAUAUAUAUAUAUAUAUAUCUCCUGCUAUUUGAGAUACUAAAUAUAUUUAGAACUAGUUUCAAAAACAACUUUAUUUUUUCCCCUUACAUCAUAAAAUUUAGAUUUUAUAAAAUUUAGAUUUGUUGAACAAAACGGCUACAGAACAGUCAGAAAGUACCAGAAAAAUGGCUUAUUUCCCUUAUUUAUAAGGCUUCUAGUUGUAAUUAUCACAAAAGUUUUGUGGAUUCUUUGAGGGAACCAGAUUUCAUAUUUAUACACCCCAAUGCAAUCUACAGUCAUCUGAGCUGGUAAUUACAAAGUUCUUGUUGAACUGUAAACAGGUCACAGCACUCUGAUGCUUGUUGGGACCUAGACAAAAACCAAAAGAAUUUAAUUACUGGUUAGAAAUAAUGGCUAUGAGUUAGUUACAUUAUAAUUUGUAGACUUCUACUUUAGAACAUACAAUAAAUGCAACAUUUGAAAUGAUACAUAUUUAGAAACCCAUGUCCUCAGUAUUUUAGGAUCAGCAUGGAUGUAAGAAAAUCUGGUAGUGAUUUGUAACUGAAACAUUAACUUUCAAGAGGUCUGUCUUCCAAGAAGCUUGGUUAGCUACCAGACAAACAUCUUAUUUUCUGGCUGUGUGAACGACAGCAUUCCUUGGUGAGGAUGUAGAUAGUGCAACUUCAUACCUUCUGCUGAUGGACAAAUGAGCACUAAGAGAUCUAUUACCCCACCACCAUGAACCACUCAAAGCUGAACAGUCACUAUUCCAAAACUCUGAGGAGAGACAAAACCAAUGAGUAAAAAGCUGCAAUGUUGCCUAUCAGAUGGCCCCACUGAAAAAAACACUUUCUAAGGGCUAUAACAAAUAGAAAAAGUUAAUCAUGAGGCACUGCUGUACCUCAUCUAAUAUUAGUGAUUUUCACUUGUUUCUUUCUCUACUUUAGUAGGCACUAUUAUUCCUCUCCAUUCCAGUUAAGCACGUGACUAAGUGGAGGCCAAAUAAAUUUUCUAUCAAGGAUGCUGUUGUUUUUUUCAAUAAGGUAGCCCUUUAAAAUUGGACUACAAAUUCAAAAUGCAAUGGUCAAUCAAAAAAUAUAAUGAGUACGUUGCUUCUAUGAUAUAGCCAAGAUCUUUCUUCUCACUGUUCUUAAAGGUUAAGUAGAGUCAAUUGAACAUGCAGGAAGUGAUUAAACAAUUUUAUAUUACAUAUUAAAAACACAGUUUAAAACAUUUCCUCAAGAGUAGACUAGUUCUGUAAGUCAGGGUGAAAAUAUUCAUAAACUUUUCUGAAGUAACCAUUCUGUAUGAGGUUGACUCUUUUUGUGAUGCUAAGGCUCCAUAUUUCUCUUGAAUAAUGAUCUCAUUUUUAAUGAACAAAACGA
rnacentral:lncRNA from 1 species